UUUUUUAAAGACUUCAUUUGGUUUUGUUUUUUAAAUCCCAAGAUCUCGAAGUUUUUACAGCAUAGGGUGUCCUGGCUACAGGCGGUGUUUGGGGACCCCCCCGCAGCCUCCUGGGCUUCCUGAUUCGCCAGGCCUGGCACCUCCUUUCUCCUACACCGAGAGAGCCCUGGCUUUAGGCUCACUGUGUUGCUGCCGUGAAAUGAGUUUCUUUGUCAUGGGAGCAGCAGCAAGACGAUCAGCGGUGUCCGCCUGCUUUUCGGGGCUGGGUUUGCGCCCAAGGGGUCAGUCGGCCGGGCUUUACAGAGUGUCCGGCUGUGGGAUUGAAGGUCUGCAAGCCAGGGCUGGUCCCUU
rnacentral:lncRNA from 1 species